rnacentral:snRNA from 1 species
GUGCUUCCUUCGGCAGCACACAUGCUAAAAUUGGAAGGAUACAGAGAUCAGCAUGGCCCCUGCACAAGAAUGACACGCAA